rnacentral:rRNA from 1 species
AGAGUUUGAUCAUGGCUCAGGAUGAACGCUAGCGGCAGGCCUAAUACAUGCAAGCUGAACGGUAAAUAUUGUAGCAAUACGAUAUGAGAGUAGCGUAAGGGUGCGUAACACGUAUGCAAUCUGCCCUGUACAGGAGGAUAGCUCGGCGAAAGCCGGAUUAAUACUCCGUAAUAUUGUUGGGAGGCAUCUUCUGACAAUUAAAGUCGCAAGACGGUAUGGGAUGAGCAUGCGUCUGAUUAGCUAGUUGGUAGUGUAACGGACUACCAAGGCGAUGAUCAGUAGGGGAACUGAGAGGUUGAUCCCCCACACUGGCACUGAGAUACGGGCCAGACUCCUACGGGAGGCAGCAGUAGGGAAUAUUGGUCAAUGGGUGAGAGCCUGAACCAGCCAUGCCGCGUGCAGGAAGAAGGCCUUCUGGGUUGUAAACUGCUUUUGCCGGGGGAUAAAAUUCUCAUGCGUGGGAAAUUGAAGGUACCCGGUGAAUAAGCCACGGCUAACUACGUGCCAGCAGCCGCGGUAAUACGUAGGUGGCAAGCGUUGUCCGGAUUUAUUGGGUUUAAAGGGUGCGUAGGCGGCCUAUUAAGUCAGUUCUGAAAUAUCCCGGCUUAACCGGGAGGGUGGGAUUGAUACUGAUGGGCUUGAGUGAAUUCGAGGUAGGCGGAAUUGACGGUAGCGGUGAAAUGCUUAGAUAUCGUCAAGAACACCGAUAGUGUAGACAGCUUACUAGACUUCAACUGACGCUGAGGCACGAAAGUGUGGGGAUCAAACAGGAUUAGAUACCCUAGUAGUCC